ACUGGUCGUUGUGGUGAGCACCUAUGAAUCAGCUUCCAGGCCACUAGAUUGGUGUUGAUGAAGUGAGGGAAGGAGUUCCAUGACGGUCCUGAUGUACGGCGACCGGGUGUCCGAUCCAAGCGUUGCGCCGCCAGGUUACUACUGCCGAAGGAUGGCGGUUCCUGAGCGGCCAGGGAGGGUUACGUAGCUCAAGCCCGAAAGGGAGCAAGCAAAAACCCCUAUGAGACUCAGUGGAUGGAUUGCGUCCAUUAGUGCUCAUGUCGUCGCGACCUCUCCAACACCUUCAGAGUACCAAUCGC
rnacentral:SRP_RNA from 1 species